AGGCCGGCCUGGACUUCUCGAAGAAAGGGAAGGACGGCGAGGAGGACGAGGACGAGGAGCAGGAACAGCUCAAGGAAUACCAGACCAAGUAUCUUCCAGGGACGGGCGAGG
rnacentral:ribozyme from 1 species